rnacentral:rRNA from 1 species
CCUACGGGUGGCAGCAGUGGGGGAUAUUGCACAAUGGGGGAAACCCUGAUGCAGCGACGCCGCGUGUGGGAAGACGGUCCUCUGGAUUGUAAACCACUGUCCCCAGGGACGAAGAUGACGGUACCUGGGGAGGAAGCUCCGGCUAACUACGUGCCAGAAGGCGCGGUAAUUCGUAGGGAGCGAGUGUUGCCGGGAAUUACUGGGUGUAACGGGAGCGUUGGGGGGGAUGCAGUCUGGGGGUCAAAACUACCGGCUCAACUGGUAGUCGCACUCGAAACUGCAGCUCUUGAGUGAAGUAGAGGCAGGCGGAAUUCCUAGUGUAGCGGUGAAAUGCGUAGAUAUUAGGAGGAACACCAGUGGCGAAGGCGGCCUGCUGGGCUUUUACUGACGCUGAGGCUCGAAAGUGUGGGGAGCAAACAGGAUUAGAUACCCCUGUAGUC